GAUAGUGGCGACGGGUGAGUAACACGUGGGCAAUCUGCCCUUCACUCUGGGACAAGCCCUGGAAACGGGGUCUAAUACCGGAUACCACCUUCACUGGCAUCUGUGAAGGUUGAAAGCUCCGGCGGUGAAGGAUGAGCCCGCGGCCUAUCAGCUUGUUGGUGAGGUAAUGGCUCACCAAGGCGACGACGGGUAGCCGGCCUGAGAGGGCGACCGGCCACACUGGGACUGAGACACGGCCCAGACUCCUACGGGAGGCAGCAGUGGGGAAUAUUGCACAAUGGGCGAAAGCCUGAUGCAGCGACGCCGCGUGAGGGAUGACGGCCUUCGGGUUGUAAACCUCUUUCAGCAGGGAAGAAGCGAAAGUGACGGUACCUGCAGAAGAAGCGCCGGCUAACUACGUGCCAGCAGCCGCGGUAAUACGUAGGGCGCAAGCGUUGUCCGGAAUUAUUGGGCGUAAAGAGCUCGUAGGCGGCUUGUCACGUCGGGUGUGAAAGCCCGGGGCUUAACCCCGGGUCUGCAUUCGAUACGGGCUAGCUAGAGUGUGGUAGGGGAGAUCGGAAUUCCUGGUGUAGCGGUGAAAUGCGCAGAUAUCAGGAGGAACACCGGUGGCGAAGGCGGAUCUCUGGGCCAUUACUGACGCUGAGGAGCGAAAGCGUGGGGAGCGAACAGGAUUAGAUACCCUGGUAGUCCACGCCGUAAACGGUGGGAACUAGGUGUUGGCGACAUUCCACGUCGUCGGUGCCGCAGCUAACGCAUUAAGUUUCCCCGCCCUGGGGAGUACUGCCGCAGGCUAAACUCAAAGGAUUGACGGGGGCC
rnacentral:rRNA from 1 species